GCGAGACAGACACGUCGAGCAGGUACGAAAGUAGGUCAUAGUGAUCCGGUGGUUCUGAAUGGAAGGGCCAUCGCUCAACGGAUAAAAGGUACUCCGGGGAUAACAGGCUGAUACCGCCCAAGAGUUCAUAUCGACGGCGGUGUUUGGCACCUCGAUGUCGGCUCAUCACAUCCUGGGGCUGAAGUCGGUCCCAAGGGUAUGGCUGUUCGCCAUUUAAAGUGGUACGCGAGCUGGGUUUAGAACGUCGUGAGACAGUUCGGUCCCUAUCUGCCGUGGGCGUUUGAGAAUUGAGAGGGGUUGCUCCUAGUACGAGAGGACCGGAGUGAACGAACCGCUGGUGUUCGGGUUGUCAUGCCAAUGGCAUUGCCCGGUAGCUACGUUCGGAACUGAUAAGCGCUGAAAGCAUCUAAGCGCGAAGCAGGCCUCGAGAUGAGUUCUCACUAGACUUUUAAAGUCUCUGAAGGGCCGUUGAAGACUACAACGUUGAUAGGCAAGAUGUGGAAGCAUGGCGACAUGUUAAGCUAACUUGUACUAAUUACCCGUGAGGCUUAACCAUACAACGCCAAACGCGUUU
rnacentral:rRNA from 1 species